ACAGAUCGUUCUAGAGUUUGAUCCUGGCUCAGGACGAACGCUGGCGGCAUGCCUAACACAUGCAAGUCGAACGGAACUUGUUGAAUGAAGUUUUCGGAUGGAUUUCGGCAAGUUUAGUGGCGGACGGGUGAGUAACGCGUGAGCAACCUGCCUUUCAGAGGGGGACAACAGUUGGAAACGACUGCUAAUACCGCAUAACGUAUCGGAACCGCAUGGCUCUGAUACCAAAGAUUUAUCGCUGAAAGAUGGGCUCGCGUACGAUUAGAUAGUUGGUGAGGUAACGGCUCACCAAGUCGACGAUCGUUAGCCGGACUGAGAGGUUGAACGGCCACAUUGGGACUGAGACACGGCCCAG
rnacentral:rRNA from 1 species